GAAAUGCGAUAAGUAGUGUGAAUUGCAGAAUUCAGUGAAUCAUCGAAUCUUUGAACGCACAUUGCGCCCGCCAGUAUUCUGGCGGGCAUGCCUGUCUGAGCGUCAUUUCCACCCUCGGGACCCCGUUCGCGGGACCCGGCGUUGGGGAUCAGCCCGAAGCCCCCCGGGGCGGGCGGCUGGCCCCGAAAUCUAGUGGCGGUCCCCCCAGCGACCUCCUCUGCGCAGUAGUAACUCACCUCGCAGCUGGACAGCGGGAGGGCCACGCCGUAAAACCCCCAACUUCUCAAAGGUUGACCUCAGAUCAGGUAGGAAUACCCGCUGAACUUAAGC
rnacentral:misc_RNA from 1 species